rnacentral:rRNA from 1 species
AUGGCCGGUGACCGCCGCGGCGGGUCGCCCACGGUGGAGCGCCGGCGGGGGAUCCGGCGCCUCCUGCUGCCCCGCGGGGAGGUCUCCUCGUCCUCCUCGCCCUCGGUGCCGCUGCCUCCGCCGGCCGCAGCCGAGGUGGGGCGGAGGAAGAGCUUCGCCUCCGCGGCGCUGCGCGGGCUGGGCUGCACGUCGGCCGCGGCCUCGCAGGCGUACGCGCCAGGGGCGGGCUCCGCGGCUGCGGCGGCCGUGCGGUCGUCCGCCGACUGGCACGGGCGAAGGAAGAAAGGGAAGGACAGGAGGAAGGAGAGGGGAGGAGGUGGAGGAGGCGGCCUUGUGGGCGGAGGGAUCGGCGGCGACGUGUGGUGCGCCCCGGGGAUACCGUUCGCCGCGGAGGCGUCGUCCGUGGACUGCGUGGUGGCGCGCCACCAGAUGCUGGGGAGGGGGCGCGGCGGCGACGCCGAGAGGCCGCACAGAGAGCGGCCCUGCCUGUCCCGGAGGGCGAGCAUGCAGGAGCAGAUAUCGUCGUCGUUCAUGGAGUCGCCGCCGCCGCCGCCGCCGGCGCACCUGGACGGGCCCUUCUUCGGCGCCGACCUGCUCCCCUCCGCGCGCCUCCGCCGGAUGCGCGGGUACCGCCCCUCCCCCGGCGGCCUCGAAGAAGAGAUCAUGAUGUUUCAGACAAGAGUGUUGUUGGGAGGAAUGAACAUGUAUGAUCGGUACCAGGAUUGGCGCCUUGAUGUCGACAACAUGACUUAUGAGGAGUUGCUUGAGCUUGGAGAAAGAAUAGGGCAUGUCAACACAGGGCUACGCGAGGAUGAGAUAGUUCGCAACCUUAGGAAGGUCAAGCCUGAUUCGUCAUUCCGGCUUCCGACGGAAGCGGAGAAGAAAUGCAGUAUCUGUCAAGAAGAGUUUGAAGCAAAUGACGAGCUGGGGAGGCUGGGCUGCGGCCACAGCUACCAUGUUUACUGCAUCAAGCAGUGGCUUUCUCAGAAGAACGUUUGCCCGGUUUGCAAGACUGCUGUUACCAAGACCUGA